rnacentral:rRNA from 1 species
UGGGGAAUCUUCCGCAAUGGACGAAAGUCUGACGGAGCAACGCCGCGUGAGUGAUGACGGCCUUCGGGUUGUAAAGCUCUGUUAAUCGGGACGAAAGGCCUUCUUGCGAAUGGUUAGAAGGAUUGACGGUACCGGAAUAGAAAGCCACGGCUAACUACGUGCCAGCAGCCGCGGUAAUACGUAGGUGGCAAGCGUUGUCCGGAAUUAUUGGGCGUAAAGCGCGCGCAGGCGGAUUGGUCAGUCUGUCUUAAAAGUUCGGGGCUUAACCCCGUGAUGGGAUGGAAACUGCCAAUCUAGAGUAUCGGAGAGGAAAGUGGAAUUCCUAGUGUAGCGGUGAAAUGCGUAGAUAUUAGGAAGAACACCAGUGGCGAAGGCGACUUUCUGGACGAAAACUGACGCUGAGGCGCGAAAGCCAGGGGAGCGAACGGGAUUAGAUACCCCGGUAGUCCUGGCCGUAAACGAUGGGUACUAGGUGUAGGAGGUAUCGACCCCUUCUGUGCCGGAGUUAACGCAAUAAGUACCCCGCCUGGGGGAGUACGACCGCAAGGUUG